rnacentral:rRNA from 1 species
GUCUGGUUGAUUUUAAAACCAGUCCAGCCUGCCCACUGAAACUCUUAAAGGGCCGCAGUAUCCUAACUGUGCAAAGGUAGCAUAGUAAUUAGUCUCCUAAUUAGAGACUUGUAUGAACGGCUAGACAAGAAAUUAAUUGUCUUUUUAUCAAAAACGAAGUUCACCUUUAAGUGAAAAGGCUUAAAUAAUUAAAUAGGACGACAAGACCCUAUAAAUCUUUACAUUAAAAAUAACUUUACUCAUUUAUACAUGUUUAACAUUAAAUUUAUCCUACAAUGUUUUGUUGGGGCGACAAAAGCAUAUUAAACACCUGCCAUUUUUCACCAACAACCUAUUUUUGAAACACCACCGAUCCUUAUUAAAGAUCCAAAGAAAAGUUACUUUAGGGAUAACAGCGUAAUCCCCUUUGAGAGCCCUAAUCGACAAGGGGGUUUGCGACCUCGAUGUUGAAUUAAUUUACCUCAUCAGCGCAGAAGCUAAUAAAGGAGGUCUGUUCGACCUUUAAAUAAUUACAUGAUUUGAGUUCAAACCGGUGCAAA